CCCUAGCCCGGAUAGCAGUGAAAAUCCUUUUUGUAUAAAAUCUAUUUUUUUGUAGCUAAUGCAGAGCGACCAACGGAAGCUCCUGCAAUAGCUUACAAAAAAUGAUUUUAUACAAAAAGAUUGAAACGAAUAGCCGGAAUAGCU
rnacentral:sRNA from 1 species